rnacentral:lncRNA from 1 species
UUCAACAGGAAUCACACAAGGGUAGAUUAGAAACCUCUGGUAAAAUGUCCGCCCGUAACCCAACAGAUUACAUAGUCUAGGGAUUGGCGACUUACCCAUUCAGUGACUUUGGCACUGGACGUUCCCAAAAUGGGUACUAUCGGGUCGGGUGAAUUCAUUAAUAGACGCCUGUUGGCAUUCCAGCCUUCCUUCUCCUUUUAGGGCAUAUCCGAAAGAGAAUCCAGUACUUCUUAGUAGUGAAUAUCUAAACUGGUUAUUCGCUGUUCAAUAAUU